AAAUCCGGUUGAUCCUGCCGGAGGCGACCGCUAUUGGAGUUCGAUUAAGACAUGCGAGUCUGAGCAUUAGCUCGGCGUACCGCUCAGUAACACGUGGGUAACCUGCCCUAUCGUUUUGAAUAACCUCGGGAAACUGAGAACAAUACAUCAUAGUCCACUACGCCUGGAACGGUGAGUGGAUGAAGGUAGGAUGGGCCUGCGGCGUAUCAGGUUGUAGGGGGUGUAAUGGACCUCCUAGCCAUCGACGCGUACGGGUGUUGGGAGACAUAGCCCGGAGAUGGAUUCUGAGACACGAAUCCAGGCCCUACGGGGCGCAGCAGUUACGAAAACUUGGCAAUGCGGGAAACCGUGACCAGGGAACUCCAAGUGAGUCUCUUUUAGGGGCUCUUUUCUUGACUCUAAAACGGUCUUGGAAUAAGGGGUGGGUAAGGACGGUGCCAGCCGCCGCGGUAAUACCGGCGCCUCAAGUGGUCGUCGCUUUUAUUGGGCCUAAAACGUCCGUAGCCGGUUUGGUACAUUCGUGGGUAAAUCAGCUCGCUCAACGAGCUGAAUUCUGCGAGCACGGCCAGACUAGGGACCGGGAGAGGUGUGGGGAACUCUCAGGGUAGGGGUAAAAUCCUGUCAUCCUGAGAGGACCACCUGUUGCGAAGGCGCCACACUAGAACGGAUCCGACGGUCAGGGACGAAG
rnacentral:rRNA from 1 species